UUUUCAGGCCUUUUCUGCAAUUCCAAAAACUAAAGUUUGAGGGGUGGCUAAGAAAUGGAAAAUCGUAUAAGAGUAUGUUUUUAAAAAAAAAAAAAAAAACUGAGGGGGAGGAGUUUGUGACCUGGUGAGUCCAGCUCAUUAGUUCUUCAGUUGAGUAGUUGCUCAAUAUGGCUUUAAUCGAUUGGGUGUUUCAGGGAACAGCAACCAGGAUAGUCAAAAUUGUAAUUAUUCCAUUGCAAUUACCCAAGAACGCAAAAGGCAAAUAUCUCUCAGAUUAAUUUAAUAUGUGAGAGGUAGUUCAUCCUCUUGUUGAUGGGAGGGGAGUUGGGCAGACGUUAUAUUAUGCACUCUUUCCUCAGUUGUUUCCCAUGUGAUUUCAGAUACGUCUAAGCCACUGAGAUAUUGUUAAUUGGCGAAGACAGAUGCAGAGAGGAGCUCAGACAGAAGGAGCUGAGAUUUUCUAUUCCUCAUCUGAAGGUGCCUGGGUUCCAGGAGAUCCACCCCGGAAACCUGGCCAAUUAGCUGUCGAUGUCGCUCAAGAUCAAAACACCACCUGUGAGUUUUUAUAGUCUAGCAGACACUCAUAUUUUCUAAUUAUGAUCUGUUGUUGGAGGGUGAGAGUAAUAAACCCACAUGCAGCAGAGAGGGUUGGCUGUGG
rnacentral:lncRNA from 1 species